GAAAAGAACUUUGAAAAGAGAGUUAAACAGUACGUGAAAUUGUUGAAAGGGAAACGAUUGAGGCCAGUCAUGCCUGCGAGAAAUCAAUUAGUCGAUUGGGUUCUUGAAUCUUUUUGGCUGGUGCACUUUUUCGCGUGGCAGGUUAGCAUCAACUUUGAUGGUUGUAAAAUGGUGGUCGGAAGGUGACUCUUUUUUGAGUGUUAUAGCCGGCUGCAGAUGCAACGAUCGGGGUUGAGGUUUGCGGCAAAUGCCUUUGGGCUACUUACCUUCCUUCUGAUCUGUUCACUUUGAAAUGACAGC
rnacentral:misc_RNA from 1 species